rnacentral:rRNA from 1 species
GACGAACGCUGGCGGCGUGCUUAACACAUGCAAGUCGAACGGUAAGGCCCUGCUUUUGUGGGGUGCUCGAGUGGCGAACGGGUGAGUAACACGUGAGUAACCUGCCCUUGACUUUGGGAUAACUUCAGGAAACUGGGGCUAAUACCGGAUAGGAGCUCCUGCUGCAUGGUGGGGGUUGGAAAGUUUCGGCGGUUGGGGAUGGACUCGCGGCUUAUCAGCUUGUUGGUGGGGUAGUGGCUUACCAAGGCUUUGACGGGUAGCCGGCCUGAGAGGGUGACCGGCCACAUUGGGACUGAGAUACGGCGCAGUCUCCUACGGGAGGCAGCAGUGGGGAAUAUUGCACAAUGGGCGGAAGCCUGAUGCAGAAACGCCGCGUGCGGGAUGACGGCCUUCGGGUUGUAAACCGCUUUCGCCUGUGACGAAGCGUGAGUGACGGUAAUGGGUAAAGAAGCACCGGCUAACUACGUG